rnacentral:rRNA from 1 species
AGGGAUUCCUUAGUACGGCGAGUGAACCGGGAUGAGCUCAAAUUUAAAAUCUGGCGUCUUUCAGGCGUCCGAGUUGUAAUCUAUAGAGGCGUUUUCCGCGCCGGACCGCGUCCAAGUCCCUUGGAAUAGGGUAUCAAAGAGGGUGACAAUCCCGUACUUGACGCGACCACCGGUGCUCUGUGAUACGUCUUCUACGAGUCGAGUUGUUUGGGAGUGCAGCUCAAAAUGGGUGGUGAAUUCCAUCUAAAGCUAAAUAUUGGCGAGAGACCGAUAGCGAACAAGUACCGUGAGGGAAAGAUGAAAAGCACUUUGGAAAGAGAGUUAAACAGCACGUGAAAUUGUUAAAAGGGAAACGAUUGAAGUCAGUCGUGUGGGAGGUAUUCAGCCGUCUCUGGCGGUGUAUUUGCCUCUCACGGGUCAACAUCAGUUUGAUCCGGUAGAAAAAGGCGGGAGGAAGGUGGCACCCUCGGGUGUGUUAUAGCCUCCUGUCACAUGUGCCGGACCAGACUGAGGAACGCAGCUCGCAGCAAUGCCGGGGUUCGCCCACGUACGAGCUUAGGAUGUUGACAUAAUGGCUUUAAACGACCCGUCUUGAACAACGGACCAA